rnacentral:rRNA from 1 species
GUGACAAGAAAUAACAAUACAGAACCUCACGGUUUUGUAAUUGGAAUGAGUUAAGUAUAAACCCCUUAACGAGUAUCAAUUGGAGGGCAAGUCUGGUGCCAGCAGCCGCGGUUAUUCCAGCUCCAAUAGCGUAUAUUAAAGUUGUUGCAGUUAAAAAGCUCGUAGUUGAUUUUCUGUUAAUUUUUAUGUAUAAUAUUGCGAUAUUUACAUAAUAUUAACAUAAUUCACAUUACUUUACAGUAUGUGGAAA